UCAAUAGUCUCUUUCUUAUCGCGGUCCAAGUAAAGUUGCAGAUUUGAAAAUUCAGUUCUUCUGUCAGAAACUUCGCUCUCUGUUGUUGUGGAAACCAGACGAUUGUUUUCCACCUGAGUAUAUAUCUCUUGUGUUCUGGGAUAUCAAAGAGAAAUACAUUUGCACGAUUAUUCAGACCAAUCGUUGCCAAAGGUGUCAAGAGUUCCCAAUCAUCUCUAAGCCCAAUUAUUGCCACGUAAUGACCUGCCAACUUUAAUUGAGUCAAAACAUCAGCAGUGUAAUUGACACUCGUUGAGUCCAGGAUGGCAACUGGAGAUAUCAUGGAUAAUAAAUCACAAGAAAAUAACCACAACAUAAAUACAAACAAGUGAGUGACAGUGAGAUAGAACGCAUUUUCAAAUUUGAAUGAUCCAGGAUAAUAUAAUAUCCUACGCUUCUCUGGAUUUCAUAAUUCAAAGAAUGUAUCAUACGAGUAGUGUACUCCUUGGAUUCUGAAAUCAAGAACACUAGAUGAAAAAGUGAUCAGGUUUGUUUUUAAAAAUUAAAUUCUUCAUAGAAAAUAUGAUAACAGCAUCAUAGUAGAUAGUAUUAAUAAAAUUACCAACGCA